rnacentral:tRNA from 2 species
AAAAACUUAGGAUAUUUAAAYCAAGGGCCUUCAAAGCCCUAAAAAAGGGCGCAAACCC